UACGUAGGGGGCAAGCGUUGUCCGGAAUCAUUGGGCGUAAAGCGCGUGUAGGCGGCUCGAUAAGUCUGCUGUGAAAGUCCAGGCUCAACCCUGGGAUGCCGGUGGAUACUGUCGAGCUCGAGUCCGGAAGAGGCGAGUGGAAUUCCUGGUGUAGCGGUGAAAUGCGCAGAUAUCAGGAGGAACACCGAUGGCGAAGGCAGCUCGCUGGGACGUGACUGACGCUGAGACGCGAAGCGUGGG
rnacentral:rRNA from 1 species